GUCUAACUGGGCAAAGAACAAGGACUCUGGCUUCAGAAAAGCUGAGGAUUUAGGACUCCGUGCCAGGAGUUUGCACCCUCGGGACCUUGGCUGAGUAGAGAAACAGGUGAAGAGGAAGGCUGCCAAACGGAAGAGAUGGGAAAACACAUCGGGACAGCAGUGGGUGUGGCCAGAGAAGCCAGUGGCUACUUUCAAUUGCCUGUGUCUAAUCACAGAGGAAGAAACAUGUCCCUCA